CUACGGGGGGCACCAGUGGGGAAUUUUGCGCAAUGGGGGAAACCCUGACGCAGCAAUACCGCGUGAGUGAAGAAGGCCUUUGGGUCGUAAAGCUCUUUUCUUGGGGAAGAUAGUGACGGUACCCAAGGAAUAAGCACCGGCUAACUCCGUGCCAGCAGCCGCGGUAAUACGGAGGGUGCAAGCGUUGUUCGGAUUUACUGGGCGUAAAGGGCACGUAGGCGGCACAGCAAGUUAAGGGUGAAAUCCCGGGGCUCAACUCCGGAACUGCUCUUAAAACUGCUGAGCUAGAGAUAGUUAGAGGCGGGUGGAAUUCCAGGUGUAGAGGUGAAAUUCGUAGAUAUCUGGAGGAACAACGGUGGCGAAGGCGGCCCGCUGGGGCUAUUCUGACGCUAAGGUGCGAAAGCGUGGGGAGCAAACGGGAUUAGAUACCCGCGUAGUC
rnacentral:rRNA from 1 species